rnacentral:rRNA from 1 species
UACCCGCAGCACAAGUGGUGGUCAUUAUUAUUGGGCCUAAAGCGUCCGUAGCUGGCGUGUUAGAUGCCUGGGUAAAUCGAUGCGCUCAACGUAUCGAAUUCCGGGUAGACCGGCACGCUCGAGACCGGGAGAGGCAUGGGGUACUCGGGGGGUAGGGGUAAAAUCCUGUAAUCCUUCGGGGACGACCAGUGGCGAAGGCGCCAUGCUAGAACGGCUCUGACAGUGAGGGACGAAGCCCUGGGGCGCAAACCGG